AAAAUGCCCAGACCAGCAUCCGAAAGCUGGUCUCCUAUACAAAGCAGAAUCCCUGCCUACAAAGCAGUUUCCCACCUCCGACUCCUCCCCACGGCGAACAGCCCUUCUGGAUCCAACCAACCCACCAACCCCAAUAGGGCCCAGCACCCAGAGGGUCCACAAUCCAGAGAAGGAGCUACAAGCCCUGUACUUGCAAGCCUCGAACCCCCAACUCCAACUGACCUCCCCUCUGCCAGAGCAAGACCACGAGUACCCGCCGAGAGCGGACCUGGCUGGCUACACAAAGCCAGGCGCCCGACCAGAGGGAUCCUCCGGGACGUCCUCCGCCACCGGGGCGUCCCCGCCCAGCCCCGCCCGGCGCCCGGCGCUCACCAGCUCUCCUCCCCCUCCUCCUAGCCUGACAGACGCUCCAGGUCGUCUAGCAAGCCGCCCUCCCCCGCCGCCAGCAAGAAGGUGGCGUCUCGCAGCUCCUCGUUAUUCGUCCGCCUCG
ensembl:lncRNA ST20-AS1 ST20 antisense RNA 1